GCUGUGGGUAAUCAUGUUGCCAAAUUGCUGCAGUCCAUUGGCCAGGCACCAGAGUCCAUUUCAGAGAAAGAAUUAAAAUUACUCUGCAGCAAUUCUGCAUUUCUUCGAGUGGUAAGAUGUCGAUCCUUAGCUGAAGAAUAUGGUUUGGAUACAAUUAACAAGGAUGAAAUUAUUUCUAGCAUGGACAAUCCAGAUAAUGAAAUAGUGUUGUACUUAAUGUUACGGGCUGUUGAUAGAUUUCAUAAACAACAGGGUAGAUAUCCAGGAG
rnacentral:misc_RNA from 1 species